GACGAACGCUGGCGGCGUGCUUAACACAUGCCAGUCGAACGGAAAGGCCCUGCUUUUGUGGGGUGCUCGAGUGGCGAACGGGUGAGUAACACGUGAGUAACCUGCCCUUGACUUUGGGAUAACUUCAGGAAACUGGGGCUAAUAUCGGAUAGGAGCUCCUGCUGCAUGGUGGGCGUUGGAAAGUUUCGGCGGUUGGGGAUGGACUCGCGGCUUAUGAGCUUGUUGGUGGGGUAGUGGCUUACCAAGCCUUUGACGGGUAGCCGGCCUGAGAGGGUGACCGGCCACAUUGGGACUGAGAUACGGCCCAGACGCCUACGGGAGGCAGCAGUGGGGAAUAUUGCACAAUGGGCGGAAGCCUGAUACAGAGACGCCGCGUGCGGAAUGACGGCCUUCGGGUUGUAAACCGCUUUCGCCUGUGACGAAGCGUGAGUGACGGUAAUGGGUAAAGAAGCACCGGCUAACUACGUG
rnacentral:rRNA from 1 species